AGGACUGUUAAAGACGAUCUUCCUGAUUUAUGACCCUGGAUAAUGCACGCGGGGCUGAAACAGACGAGUGUGGAAAAUGUCUUGCCGGUGUUGUCAGCGGCCCAUUUUAUUGGAGCGACAGAUGACGUACCUCCAGGAUGGAGCGUCCCGGGAGUCCAUCGGAUCACAAUGGGCAAAUCUGAAUCCAUCACCCCCAGGAGAAAGAUUUCCUCGUCCGUUAAUUUCCAGCGAAUUACCCCUGGAAAAGACUUGAAUAUUUCAUCCCGUAAUUAAGUCGGAGCAGAUCGAGUGGGGAGUGUUUAAUCUGUCGUUUCUGGGCGACUUCUUAACAGUUUCUGAAUGGCUGAUGGAAAGUGCAUUAAACUGGACAUCACAGGGGCAUGAUCUGAUUUGAAAUUUGUCCGAUUUCCUCUGGUCAAUUCUUUGGCACCCCCUUGAGUCCUUUUUGGAUAACUGUACGAUUCAUAUUCAAAUAAACUACUGUUCAAAUGCUUAGGGUUAAUUAUUUAAUCCAUUUUUAUUCAUAUUUUUCCCACAUUUCACAAAUCUCAUUAAAACUGUGAAACCCUUUGCCUGGAAUUUGUAGAAAUGUUUUCUGCUCAUUAUUAUAAUCAUGACAAAUAUACUCGUUUCGAUUUUCCCACAGGCCAUAAAGAUGCACGUGUGAAGAUGGAACCAUUGUGAGUUUUUCUUCAAUGUGAUAGUGGUCCACUUACAGCGCUCGGCAUCGACCGUGUGUUAUAAAUGGAAAUACCCGUCAUUUUACAUCAAGGGGCGGUCCGACAGGACAUUCUGUCAAAGUCCAGAACGGCUGUGACCAGUGGCGGACCGGCCAUCUGGAGUAUCGGAACUUGUUAUUAAGAUGUUAUUAACGUGAAUGCACGCUACACGAAGGCAUUAGUGAGACGGAAACAUAUACAUAUGGUGACGUAUUUCUCUGCAGGAAUGUGGUAAAUGUGUAUUUUUGGCAGUUGGCAUAUUUUGUCAAAGAAAGAGAUAUCAGAAGGUGUCAAGCACUGACUGGUAGGAAUAAAUAUUGAUAACAAUGACUCAUUCGACUCGGUUUUGACCGGCUGUUUUUGUCCUGCCAACCCUGAAGGCAUCUGUGUAUUUUGAUGUGGGCUUAAAAGGUUUUCGGCAGGGGACAGAGACGGAGCUCAAUUUACCCGGUUUACCUGCAGCGAUGUUGCUUUUCUCUUCUCUGACAGGAAGUAAUGGCAGGAUAUGACACAACAGACAGCUAAGCCCCGAGCAAAGGUGAGAAAAAGCUUUCCACUGCCUCUCUUCUCUUCCUCUUCUCCCUCACUUCCUUCUUUCUGACUGUCACAGGAUUAACUUCAAACGAAAAUCAGAAUCUGUCACAUGGAGACAGACGAUUCUUUUCAUCGUAGCAAACAAUUGUUUUUUUAAGCGAAGAGGGUUUGUGUAACUUCAUUCAAAUGAAUCUGGGAACUGAUAGAAAAAAGUUCAGAUUGCAGAGGUUUUUGUGACAGUUUAGACCUCAUUAACUUUCAUUUAUACCAUUGAUGUCCAAUGGAAACCUUGUAUGUCCAAAACUGCUACUUUUCAGGAUACUAAACUCCCAGUGAAAUUAAAAAUUAAAAUUUUUAUUUUUUCAUGAAAUAUUGCAGCAUAUAUGGUAAAUAGUUUAUCAAUGUGGGUAAUUUUCUUUUUAAAAUUCAUGCAACCGCAUGCACUUCCUUCCUGUAAUGACUAUCCAUCUCAAAUGACGUAUGUUAGAGGGCUUGGGCGAAGCAUCUGUUAACUCCUCCCCUUCAACUGUCAGUCUGCUGCUAGUGCCAUUUCAAAUUAGCUGUUUUUAUACAUCCAAUCAAUUUGCAGUAAAAAAACGCAAGCCACGCCCACUAAUUUCCUCCUUUGAAAUUCCUUGUGCACUCGGAAAUGUGUAAGAAUAUGGAAAUAAAAACGAUCACAACUUCCGGUUCACGGGGACUUUAAAUAAUUUAACACUGUCUUGUCAAAGUUGACAAGCUCUUGAGAACCUAUAGACAAACAUGAAGGGUGACCAGAAGAUGAUUUUUGAAAAAAUAAAAACCACAAGAUACAAGGUUUCCACCCGGCAGGAAAAACAGUAGAAGCAGGCAGUAUAUUCUUUAAAAAUGCACAUUUUGUCUUUCAAUGGGGGUUUGUAUAGGUUUGGAACGAGGGCGAGUAAAUGAUGACAAAAAUGAAUUUCCGUUUUUGGCUGAACUAUUCCUUUAACAGAGAGUUUAUGAGCCUGACUGGUUGCACGCUUGUGGGAUAUUUGUUGUUUUAUGAUGGCGGUCUUAAAACUGAGGCAGGAAGCAUAUGGAACUUUAGGGCUAUUGGAUGAAAACAGCAUAUGGCUGGAAUCCAUUAACUACAGUCCAGAAAUUUCUCAUCGUAUAAAACAGCAUCACACACACACACACACACACACACACACACACUUUAAAUCAGUGUUACCUACACACUCCAUCCCGGUCUUUCUCUUUCUUUCGUUUUGUCUUUAUCGCUCCAUUGGUCAUUUCUAUUAUGCUGUACUUUUUGAACCAUUUCUUCGGGCUACACCGAAGACAUUCAGAUUUAUGCUGUUGUCAAGUUCAGCCACUUCAACUUUAUUAAUUAAGACAUGAUUUAUACAAAGUCAAGAACAAUAACACGAUGCUGAACAGGAUGGAAACAAACGAGUCAGAAAGUUACCUGUUGCUCACACGAGACUGUCAACGUGAUCGUUUAGAUUUUCUUAAACAUCUGAAAAUGAUCAUACCGAUGUCAAUAGUACGUAUGAAAUAUUUUGAGACAAGCAACACUAAGAAAAAAACACAGAAUUCAUCAAAUCCAUUGGUGUUUGUGCAUGAUGUCACUUCCCAGAGAAGGAUGCUGUCUUUUCGUUUGUAUGAAGGAAAAGACAGGAUGGAAAGUGAUAUUAAGGACACGAGAGAUAUGCAUAAAUUGGUUACAGUUUAAGUUACCAUAGCACCAGGGACAUGCCAAUAUCAUAAAAGAAAAAGCAAACAUGAUUUACAUCAUUAAACAUAAUGUUAUUCAAUGUAUUAACCCAUAUUUGGGAGCUCAGCUGUAAUGAUAGCCGUCUAUUCUCCUGACAUCACUUUGCAUUAGAUGAGCAUCAUCCACCCAUAAUGCUUACUGUGCAAACCCCAAAAUCAAAACCUCAGUCAUCACAGGGAAGUGAGAAAUGCCUUCACACACAACCUUGAUUAAUCUGACAAUGAAAAAACGUGGCCAUUGGAUCAGCAUUACGUCACGACAGGCCUGUUAGCGUGCCAUAUGAAUAAUGCAACUCUCAUCGCCUCUUCUCUGUUGCUCUGAGGUGUGAAUCUGUUUCCUCCACCCCCCGCUGCCUCUCUACCUGUAGAUGAAGGAUGAUGCUCGACCAGGUCUGUAGCUUACCUCCUAAUAAUGACAGAUGGAACGCUGUCAACCGGCACAUGGCUUGAACAGAGAAGAAGUUUGUUUCAUUGUUCUUAUCUCUGCUCAGGGGUGUGGAAUGGAGGCCUUCAUUUGAUCGAGAGGAUGAGGCUGAAAGAUGCACACAUGUACAGUACAUGCUUACGUAUGUUUCUACCAUUCUGCGCUCUGAACAAUCUGUCCUGCUGCCUGCCAGCCUGCUAGGUGCAUGCUGGGUAGGGGUGCCGCUGCUCUUCAUGAGCCAAAAAGCAGCACUAAUGGUCCACAAAGGGAACACUGGCUUCACCAACAGAGCCCCGGGGGGAUUUAAAAACUGUACCUCCAUCAGUCCAUCUCUCUGUUCCUCAUCGGUGGUUUGGCUCGAAGGUUUUCAGCAUCGUUGAAUACAAAGGUUGUCUGAAAGUAACCGUCUGAAUGGAGCUGUUUUGUGUUUCGCAGGAGCUGAUCUCUUUAAUCUCAGUUUUAUUCUCCAGAGACAGCAGGGAGAUUAAAUGGAUACUUUUGUUUUUUCCAUUUCUUUAAAUGGAACAAAUCUUGCAAAUUUCAGAUAAGAAUAUCUGAAUAAAAACGAAUCUAUUGUAUGUCAACAAUUAUCUUCUUUGUUUCUAAUUUCAU